GCUAUCUGCGAUUCGGGCAGGGUUCGAGCAUGCAGCAGGUUCGAGUCGAACGUAGUGAGACAACGGAGCCGUUUGCGGCGACGGCCCGAAGGGCGAGCACAGCGAGUCAUCCUGCACGACCCACCA
rfam:Beauveria bassiana D1-5 contig00023, whole genome shotgun sequence.